GCCCAGGUAGCUCAGUUGGUAGAGCAGCGGACUGAAAAUCCGCGUGUCGGCGGUUCGAUUCCGUCCCUGGGCACCA
rnacentral:tRNA from 1 species